UGGCAGGUCAGCAUACUGCCGUGAAUACGUUCCCGGGCCUUGUACACACCGCCCGUCACACCAUGAGAGUUGGGGAUACCCAAAGCCCGUGAGCCAACUAUAAAGAGGCAGCGGUCUAAGGUAGAAUCAAUGAUUGGGGUGAAGUCGUAACAAGGUAUC
rnacentral:rRNA from 1 species